rnacentral:rRNA from 1 species
UACGGAGGGUGCAAGCGUUAUCCGGAUUCACUGGGCUUAAAGGGUGCGUAGGUGGGUAGGUAAGUCAGUGGUGAAAUCUCCGGGCUUAACUCGGAAACUGCCAUUGAUACUAUCUUUCUUGAAUACCGUGGAGGUCAGCGGAAUAUGUCAUGUAGCGGUGAAAUGCUUAGAUAUGACAUAGAACACCAAUUGCGAAGGCAGCUGGCUACACGAAUAUUGACACUGAUGCACGAAAGCGUGGGGAGCAAACAGG